CAGCUCUGGUUUUUUGGAGGGAGGAUAUCAAUCUGCAAUCCUGCGAUGCUUCUUCCCCUUAUGAGCUUGCAGCUCAACCAUGGCUCAGCUGUCCCAGACCCUGGACAGGUCUCUGGCUCGCACCCGAACCGCACCCCUGGCUCUCCAGGCCCUGGGAAGAGGAACCACGGGGGUAUCUCCCACCGCUGUGCCCUCCCCUGCUUCAGCCAAGCUGCUUCUGCCAGAGGGGUCUCCCAGCAGGAGAGGUCUCACACCAAAACCAUGUCCCCACACUCCAACAGGCCCUGCCUGGCCAUCACCACGGCCCCUUAAUAAGGCGAUCCGGGUGCUCUCGUUAAUAAAGUUUCUCGGUCGUUUGUUCCCCAAAAUCGUGGCCUGUGGUCUGCAGACGGCUGCCAGAAAGCUCUGGGAUUCCCCACCAGUGGGACAGCAGCAGACCCCGGGACGGCCCUGUGGGUGAGGGUGCUGCCGGCUGGAGCAGGAGGAAGAUGAGGGGAUCCUGUCUGGUGCUGAGCCAGGAGAAGACAAAACCAGGCCAGGCUGCCCAGGAGCGGGGUGUUUCUCAGCGUCAGACUUCCCGGUAAGAGGAGGACUUUAUCAAUGUAUAUUGACUACGUACUCAGGAAAGAGCGAGCGCUGGGGGCUAACAGACCUAUUCCCAACUCAUCCAUCUGGAGAUGGGCUGACUCUUUGAUCUCUGGUGGCUGGGACAUCCUUCGGGCCAAAACUCUUCUCAGUUCCUUUGCGUUUACGGCGCUGGAGGUGUCCCGGGAGCUACGCUCUAACAGCUGCCCGCUGCUUCCCCCGGAGAGGAAACCAACGGGGACAUUCCCAGGCCGGAAAGCUUUCAUUAAGAGACACAGAUAGAACAUUAAAAAUUAAAAAAAAAAAGUCUGCUUUGUUACAGUGGAAGAAACCCCACCCUUAGCUGGGAUAGACGUUGUGUUUGGGUGCAGUUUGAGCCUCGCUGUGCGGUGUGGAAGGGGAAGCCUGUGCUUUGCAGCCCUGCAGAAGGGUUCAGCUGUGCUGCUGGGGCUGUGGGUGCCCUCAACGCAGCCCAGGAUCGCACCCACGGGCUCUGGGGUCCAGGCUCAGUCAGGGAAUUGCCCCUUGGAAGGCCAUUGUUCCCUGUCUGGCAGCACAAAGGGAAUUUUGCUUCUUCCCUCAAGGUGCAGAAGCUCUGACAGAAGCCCAGAAGCAGCUUGUUUUUUUGAAAUGAAGAUGGCUAAAAUGGAGAUGACUAAGGAAAGAGCAGGCUCCUCGCGUAGCUAGAGGAGAUGACACCCCACUUCAGAGGCAUCUUUUAAAGGCGUGGAUGAAGAUCCUGCCGGGGAUGGGACACAACAGGGUUUGCCAUGCAGUGCUUUGUCACCACUUCUAAAACCUUUGCUGGCUCCACACUCCUCUGGCUUCUCACAUCACUUCCCUCAUCCCAGGACUCCGCAGGGAGGCAGCUCUUGUAUUUUUUUCUCAGUUAUUUUUUCAUUCCAGCAACACUUAUUAUUUUUUUUCUCUUUUUGGUGAUUUAGCAUGGAUUCUUUGCUGUUAAACCCACGACCGAAUCUUCUACUACUGCAAUUUAGUGGUCUCUUCUCUUCCCAACUAAACUUGCAAAGACUUGGUAUCUUGCACAUCUCAAUUUGUACAUCAGUUUUAAUUGAAACUGGCCAACGUGUCCAAAACCUUUGGAGACUGACCAAAAAUGGAACAGUAGUCACAGAAACCUGUCUUCAUUAACUUAGAGAAAGUUUAAGAAAAAAUAAACCCAAACCCAUAUUUUUCCUGUUUAGACUU
rnacentral:lncRNA from 1 species